rnacentral:lncRNA from 1 species
UUUGGGAUUAAUUGUAAUUAGCAUGUUCCAAUGAGACUGAAAAAUGUUUUUUUUUUUUUAAAAGAUGAAUAAUAAUUUUACCUAGCGUAGCGGUGUGUAAAGUGUAUUUCGGCAUUUCUCUCCGAAAAAUGACUUGUUGAUUGGAAUAAAACGUAUUUGAAAACUUUUUCUGUUUUUCUCCGCAAUUGACUAUUAAAAAAUAAUCUAUUUACUGUGUAUUUUGAAAAUUUUGUGAAAAUAGGAGAAUUGGCAUUUCUUACCUUUCAUACGUAUACUUUCAUUG